AAAAAAAACACACACAUACACACACACAUCUAAAAAUGUCACAAAAAUAAAGUAAGUGCAAAAACAUUUUACAGGUCAUCCAGGCGAUUUUCAAGGAAUUCCAUCUACAGACAGAAAACUUUCACCCAUGCAUUAUUAAAUAAACUGACCGGCUUACAGAAGCAUCUUCCAGAUAUUUGCAUGAAGACUGCAAGCAGUAGGCUACAAUGCCCCUGGCUACAAUGCCCCUUUGCUUAUUUUUCUAAAUUAUGGAAUUGUACAAGUACAGUCUCUCUCUCUCUCAAAUUACUGUCAAGUUGGUCCAUGUCCUGAACAUCCCUUUGGCUUGAUUUUGGUUUUAUCUUAUAGUCGGUAUUGGUCAGUUUGGUUCAGAAAAAUCAUAACUGUUGCAUCACAACUGCAAGCUGAGGACAAUGUUUCUUUGAUUGAGGCUUCUCCUCAAUUAUUCUUCCUUUACUAAAAGCACGCUUUAUUGGGAGGGGAGAUGAACUUGCCACCAUCAUCCGCAAUGAAUAUAUAAUUAAAACAAAUUGAGGGACACAUCUUUUGAACUUAACUUUAAACACUAAUGAAAGAAUCACCUGUUCUUAUUGUAAUUAUACAUCGUCAGCCUAAUUCAAACUUACCAUUUUUUAAACUGUCAACUACAAUAGGAUUCUUCUCUUGGGUGAUUAUAAUAUCCGUAUCAAUAUUAAAUCCAAUUCUAAACGUUCUAAUUUUCUGAGGUUACUGGAUUCCUUAGAUUUUGUCCAGCAUCUUCAAGGUCCAACUCAUAAUCAUGACCAUACUUUAGAUUUAGUAAUCCCCAUGGCCUAGUUGUUAAAAAUAUUAUAACUACUAACCUUACUAUUUCUGAUAAUCUUGCAAUUCUUUUUGAGGUUAAAUUACCUUACGAUACAAACAGCCAAGAACAUAUAAAAAUCAAACCUAGGGUAGUUAAUUGAUCAACUGCUGUAAAGUUCUGUGAGGCAUUAAAUGUAUCGCUAGUUACUCCAUCUAACAUCAGAGGAGUUGGUCAACACCUACAACACUUCAGUGACUAACACUUUUACUGCAGCACCAGUUAAAACACGGAGAGUGUUUUCCAAAAGAAGCACACCAUGGUUUAAUGGACACGACUAGUAAGCUGAAAUGUGAGGGUUACAAAUUGGAACACAGAUGGAAUCAAAUUGCAUGUUCAUUACUUUGCAUGGAAAAGCCAUCAAGCUAAAUAAAGGAAGGCUCUCAUCAGAUUUUACAGACUCCUUUGAUUAUAGAGCAUUCUUUCUUACCUGAACCUACUAGACCUGAUAAAGCUACGUUGGAGGCUUUUUUCUCAGAUUACCUUAUAGCAUUAUUUCUGUAUAUGAGACCUACUACUUGUGCCUUUGAUCCAAUCCCUACCAAAUUAUUAAAAUAAGUUUUCUGUCUUAAUACAAGUAUUUUAGCUAUUGUAAAUUAAUCAUUUCCCUGGUAUAGUUCCAUCUGCCUUUAAGGUUGCGGUGAUAAAGACCCAGCCUCGACCCUAAAGCCCUUAGCAACUAUAGUCCAAUAUUUAAUCUGCCAUUUUUAUCAAAGGUUCCACAGAGUUGUUGCUAAUCAAUCACACAAGUGUGAAAUACUGUAUUUGAGAAAUUUCAAUCUUGAUUUCAUGCUGCACAUAGCACCGAGACGGCCCUUGUUAGGGUAGUAAAUUUUUUCUUUUGAUAAGCUCCGACUCUGGCUUUCCUUCAGUUUUAAUGGUUAGUGCUGCUUUUGAUACAGGACCUUUCCAUUCUAUUGAAUCGUCCUGAAAUAAUAGUGGUUUUGUCAGGAGCUGUCCUAUCUUGCUAUAGGUCUUAUCUUUCUAAUAGGUUCCAGUUUGUCUCUAUCUGGGAGAUGAAGACAGAUUUGUCAGAAGUUGCCUGUGGUGUUAUGCAGGGUUCUAUCUUGGGUCCUUUGUUGUUUCCACUCUAUAUAUAUAUAUAUAUGCAGCCACUAGGUGACAUUAUCCGCAGGCAUGGAGUGAAUUUCCAUUGUUACGCAGAUGACACUCAAGUAUACUUGUCUUCGGAUUCAGGCAAUCCUUCUACUCGGGUGCUAUUAGCUGCUUGCCUUGCUGGCAUCAAGCGUUGGAUGUCACAAAGUGAACAUACUACCCCUGUUCUGACCUCUUUGCACUGGCUCACUGUGGAGUAUAGAAUUGAUUAACAUUUUGUUGUUCACUUAUAAAGCUCUGAAUGGAUCAGCACCAUGUUUAUGACCAUGUGCAAAUUCUGUGCUUUCCGAUGGGUAUUUUUUCACUUAUGGGACAAUCCACUGUUUUCACUUCUCACAACUGCAAGGGCUCUGGAAUGAAGAUCAACCCGGUGUCCAGUUUAUUAUCACUCAGCUGGUGGCCGUCAUACUGCUUCCUUAAACUAGCUCUUUAUAUUACCUUAAAUCCUAAAACUGUCAAACUGAAAUGGCCCAUCUCCACUUGUAAAUUCAAACAAACUUACAUAUUUAUCAAACCAAAUAAAAAUAUUAUUCCUUUUUUUUUUUUUUUUUUUAAUUACACCAAAACACAGCUUAAUUUUCCACUGACCAAAAUGCAGCACAGAACACACUCAAUGAUCUAGUUGUUCAAAUUCAGUUCCUACUACAACUGCAUUACCUGAAAUGCCUUGGUUUAAUUUAAACAAAAAAUCUAAUAUUCAAUUAAGAAAAAAAAUUAAAAUGACCAAAUCCAGAAACGAUCAAGCCAAAUGGCUUCCUCUCAUUUCUGACUAUUUUCAGGUUUUAAUUAUAAUCUUUAUCUAUUUUUCCGCAGGGUCUAACACAAAUAAAACUGCUAUUGCAGUAAAACUGGACUAUCAAAUUUCUAGGUGGAGACAAGUAGCUAUUUCAAUAGAUUCCUAGAGAUAAAUCAAGUGGAUAAGUCAUCAAUAUCAAACUAAUGGCAAGACCUAUCUUCAAGAGGUUUUAGAUUAUAGUUUAAUAUGACUAGGGCUUCUGUUCUUACUAAUUUCAUUUUUCUGUGUUAUUUUUAGCAAUUUGAGUUUUCUGUAAAUGCUUUUUUUUUUUGGGGGGGGGGGGGACUUUCUCUUUUUAUACAAUGUAUACAGGGCUAGACACUAACGGUUGCCCAGGGCAACCAAAAUUCAGCAUCAGAUCAGAACAUGUCUAAAUAUAAAAACAGAACUUAAAACUGACUUCUACUGUUACUCUCUCGCUCCCCACGUGCACAACCUGAUAAUCUGAUUCGAUGUGCAUGACGUUGAAAGAAACACUGUUCGGUUCGCCCCAGUAUAAUCAUGUAUGGUAAAAAAAGAAAAAAAAAAAUUGUCAGAAGAGGCUUUUAAUUGGGAUUCACCCCUUCCAAAAAAACUAAGGAUCAACAAGAUGACUGCAUCCCCUCGACAUCAGUCUCUGCUGUGCCACAGGCUGCCGGUAAAGGGGAUGCGGCGAUUUCGUAUGAGGAGAAACGGCAACUUAAAUUCCAGGUUAAGUGGAAAGAGGAGUUUUCGUGGCUUGGGUACAAUGAGGAUGAUAACAAACUAUUCUGCAACAUGUGUCAAAGCUAUCCUACAUUAGCAGAGACUGGAGGUGCUUUCUUGAUCAAAACCGAAAAUAUUACAAAACAAAAUAUCCAAAAACGCCAUGCCUCCAAGCAUCAUCGUGAGUGUGCAAGAGCAAAGGAAAUUUAAUUGAGCGUCUAAAGUGCUAAGGACGAAACAAUCCCUGACCAUCUUAUAAAAAUGGACAAGAAGCUAUUGGCUCGAGUUUUUUACUACAGCAUACUUCAUGGCAAAAUCAGAACUCCCAUUCACAAAAUAUUCUGAGAUUGUUAAAUUUGCAAGUGAACAACAGACCUGAUGUGAUAUCUACUUAUAUCAAUGACAACACAUGCCGCAGGUACGUUUCUUACUUUAAUUAUUUGAAAAUUAGCUAGCUAUGUUUGUGGAAAAGCUAUCUUUUAAACUAGCUAAUUAAUCCAUGUAUUUGUUAACACACCAAAGUUCAUAGAAUUCAUCUACCAAGAUCUGAUCAAGGCAGAGUUGACAGCUAUCAAUCAGGCCAAGUAUGAGAGCAUUCUUGUUGAGUUGUCAGACGUAAGCAACAAGAAUUUGGAGACUGUGUUCAUACAGUACCUACCAACCUCUUCUUUGGAGUAGAGGAGCUUGAGACAGUUGAUGCCACAGGCCACCGUGGUGUAGUCGAGAAGAUUCUCUCCCGUGUUGGACUUGCAAGCUGGAGAGAAAGAAUUAUGGGGUUUGGCGCUGACGGUGCUGCAGAGCAUGAACAAAGGUCAAGCAGCAGUUCUGAAGCAGGACAUUCCAUGGGUGAUACCUGUUCACUGGCACACUGCCUGGUGCUAACAGCCACAUAUGUCAGAGAGGAGAAACAGGUCAAGGAUGCAACUGUAAUUGUAACUGGCACACAUUCAGCAUGCACUGCAAACAUUGGCGCAAACAUUGGUGCAUAAUGUUGCAGCAAUUGGUGGUUCACCCCGAGAAUGUUGAGAAGCAAAAGAGAGGGAGCACUGACAUCCAAGACAAGGCAAUGCAUGUCUUGAAGUUUCUGAAAGACUUCUCAAAGAUGAAGUUCAUCUUUAUGCUGGAUGUCCUGGAAUGCUUGUGCAGAUUUAGCCUGAAACUUCAGGAGGAUUCGCUGCUGCUAGAUGAGGCCAUUCAUGCCAUGGACACCACUCUCAUGACCCUACAGGACAUGAACUCUCACAAUGGGCCAAAGCUUCAAGAGUUUUUGCAAGAAGUUACAGGUCCAGAGUUAUUAAGGCACUGACCAGCCACCUGGAGGAGAGAUUUCAAUCCCUGAAGAGCAAGGAGGUGCUCUCAGCAGCUGCUGUCCUGGACCCCAUGAAGUGGCCCUCAGACCGAGACGAGCUGGUAUCGCCUGGCAAUAAAGCUGUUGCCUACCUAUGUGACCACUUCAAACAAGUGCUCUCAUCCAAUGGCUGCAGUAUGGAGGAGGUUGUGUUUGAAUGGAUGACAGCAAAAGUGCACAUUAUUGACACACCCAGAUCCCAGUGGUGCUAUGUGGGGAAGGACAUGUUUGCUGACCCUAUUCUGCAGAAUCGAUUUUCCAACCUGCGCCACCUAACAGAACUUUCACUGGUGAUCCCUCUCUCUACAGCAGCAAGUGAGAGAGGGUCCAGUUGUAUAAAGCGAGUGAAAAGUGACUGGAGGUCUUCACUUUCAGUCGACAUGCUUUUAAAAUGAACGUUCACAUUCAUGAAUGAACCAAGCCAGAAUAAAUAUGACGCUGCAGGUGCAGUUAACAGAUGGUUGAGAGCAGAGGAAAUGGCUCGUCGGCCAGACUAUAUGAAUGCCUGAACUGAUGCAACAUAAGAACAUAAGAAAGUUUACAAACGAGAGGAGGCCAUUCGGCCCAUCUUGCUCAUUUGGUUGUUAGUAGC